rnacentral:rRNA from 1 species
AUUGAACGCUGGCGGCAUGCCUUACACAUGCAAGUCGAACGGUAACAGGUCUUCGGAUGCUGACGAGUGGCGAACGGGUGAGUAAUACAUCGGAACGUGCCCGAUCGUGGGGGAUAACGAAGCGAAAGCUUUGCUAAUACCGCAUAAGAUCUAAGGAUGAAAGCAGGGGACCGCAAGGCCUUGCGCGAACGGAGCGGCCGAUGGCAGAUUAGGUAGUUGGUGGGAUAAAAGCUUACCAAGCCGACGAUCUGUAGCUGGUCUGAGAGGACGACCAGCCACACUGGGACUGAGACACGGCCCAGACUCCUACGGGAGGCAGCAGUGGGGAAUUUUGGACAAUGGGCGAAAGCCUGAUCCAGCCAUGCCGCGUGCAGGAUGAAGGCCUUCGGGUUGUAAACUGCUUUUGUACGGAACGAAAAGACUCUUUCUAAUAAAGAGGGUCCAUGACGGUACCGUAAGGAUAAGCACCGGCUAACUACGUGCCAGCCGCCGCGGUAACAC